rnacentral:rRNA from 1 species
UACGAAGGGUGCAAGCGUUACUCGGAAUUACUGGGCGUAAAGCGUGCGUAGGUGGUUCGUUAAGUCUGAUGUGAAAGCCCCGGGCUCAACCUGGGAAUUGCAUUGGAAACUAGCGGGCUGGAGUGUGGCAGAGGGGGGUGGAAUUCCACGUGUAGCAGUGAAAUGCGUAGAGAUGUGGAGGAACACCGAUGGCGAAGGCAGCCCCCUGGGCUAACACUGACGCUCAUGCACGAAAGCGUGGGGAGCAAACAGG